GAUGAACGCUGGCGGCGUGCCUAAUACAUGCAAGUCGAGCGAACAGAUGAGGAGCUUGCUCCUCUGACGUUAGCGGCGGACGGGUGAGUAACACGUGGAUAACCUACCUAUAAGACUGGGAUAACUUCGGGAAACCGGAGCUAAUACCGGAUAAUAUAUUGAACCGCAUGGUUCAAUAGUGAAAGACGGUUUUGCUGUCACUUAUAGAUGGAUCCGCGCCGCAUUAGCUAGUUGGUAAGGUAACGGCUUACCAAGGCAACGAUGCGUAGCCGACCUGAGAGGGUGAUCGGCCACACUGGAACUGGGACACGGUCCAGACUCCUAAGGGAGGCAGCAGUAGGGAAUCGUCCGCAAUGGGCGAAAGCCUGACGGAGCAACGCCGCGUGAGUGAUGAAGGUCUUCGGAUCGUAAAACUCUGUUAUUAGGGAAGAACAAAUGUGUAAGUAACUAUGCACGUCUUGACGGUACCUAAUCAGAAAGCCACGGCUAACUACGUG
rnacentral:rRNA from 1 species